CGCGGCCUAUCAGCUUGUUGGCGGGGUAACGGCCCACCAAGGCAACGACGGGUAGCUGGUUUGAGAGAACGAUCAGCCACACUGGAACUGAGACACGGUCCAGACUUCUACGGAAGGCAGCAGUAGGGAAUCUUGCGCAAUGGGCGAAAGCCUGACGCAGCGACGCCGCGUGCGGGAUGACGGCCCUAGUGGUUGUAAACCGCUUUCAGCAGGGACGAAAAUGACGGUACCUGCAGAAGAAGUCCCGGCUAACUACGUGCCAGCAGCCGCGGUAAUACGUAGGGGACAAGCGUUGUCUGGAUUCAUUGGGCGUAAAGAGCUCGUAGGCGGUUCAGUAAGUUGGGUGUGAAAGCUCCGGGCUCAACCCGGAGAGGCCACUCAAUACUGCUGUGACUAGAGUCCAGUAGAGGAGCGUGGAACUCCUGGUGUAGCGGUGAAAUGCGCAGAUAUCAGGAAGAACACCGGCAGCGAAGGCGGCGCUCUGGGCUGGUACUGACGCUGAGGAGCGAAAGCAUGGGUAGCAAACAGGAUUAGAUACCCUGGUAGUCCAUGCCGUAAACGUUGGGCACUAGGUGUGGGGAGGAAUCAACCCUCUCCGUGCCGUAGCUAACGCAUUAAGUGCCCCGCCUGGGGAGUACGG
rnacentral:rRNA from 1 species